rnacentral:ncRNA from 1 species
GUUAAGGCAAUGAUGGAGGCUAGUAAUCAAUAGUAAUAUUACAGAGAGCCGGUGGAUGCUGUGAACCGGUAUUUUACUUUGGUGAACUCGCUCCUGAGCUGGUCGAUGAACUUAUUAGUAGUCGGUCCGGUAGUCCCGUUAUGGCUGUGCGAGUGGGCUUUACAAAGGCCAAAUAGGGUGGUACCACGGGAAAUAACUUCUCGUCCCUUUA